GACGGAGGAUGCAAGUGUUAUCCGGAAUCACUGGGCGUAAAGCGUCUGUAGGUGGUUUAAAAAGUCUAUUGUUAAAAAUUGAAGCUUAACUUCAAAGAUGCAAUGGAAACUUUUAAACUUGAGUAUGGUAGGGGUAGAGGGAAUUUCCAGUGGAGCGGUGAAAUGCGUAGAUAUUGGAAAGACCACCAAUGGCGAAGGCACUCAUACUGGGCCAUUACUGACAUGAGAGACGAAAGCUAGGGGAGCAAAUGGG
rnacentral:rRNA from 1 species